UACGUAGGGAGCAAGCGUUGUCCGGAAUCAUUGGGCGUAAAGCGCGCGUAGGCGGCUCGAUCAGUCUGUUGUGAAAGUCAAAGGCUCAACCUUUGAAUGCCGAUGGAUACUGUCGAGCUAGAGUCCGGAAGAGGCGAGUGGAAUUCCUGGUGUAGCGGUGGAAUGCGCAGAUAUCAGGAGGAACACCAACGGCGAAGGCAGCUCGCUGGGACGUGACUGACGCUGAGGAGCGAAAGCGUGGGGAGCGAACAGG
rnacentral:rRNA from 1 species